GACGAACGCUGGCGGCGUGCUUAACACAUGCAAGUCGAACGGAAAGGCCCUGCUUUUGUGGGGUGCUCGAGUGGCGAACGGGUGAGUAACACGUGAGUAACCUGCCCUUGACUUUGGGAUAACUUCAUGACACUGGGGCUAAUACCGGAUAGGAGCUCCUGCUGCAUGGUGGGGGUGGGAAAGUUUCGGCGGUUGGGGAUGGACUGGCGGCUUAUCAGCUUGUUGGUGGGGUAGUGGCUUACCAAGGCUUUGACGGGUAGCCGGGCUGAGAGGGUGACCGGACACAUUGGGACUGGACUGCGACACAGCCUCCUACGGGAGGCAGCAGUGGGGAAUAGUGCACAAUGGGCGGAACGAUGAUGCAGCAAAGCCGCGUGGGGGAUGACGGCAUUCGGGUAGUAAACCGAUUUCGUCUGUGACGAAGCGUGAGUGACGGUAAUGGGUAAAGAAGCACCGGCUAACUACGUG
rnacentral:rRNA from 1 species